rnacentral:rRNA from 1 species
AACGAACGCGGGCGGCAGGCUUCACACAUGCAAGUAGAACGCACCGCAAGGUGAGUGGGAGAUGGGGGAGUAACACGUGGGGAUCUGCCCAAUGGUACGGAAUAGCACCGGGAAACUGGAAGUAAUACAGUAUGAGCCCGCAAGGGGAAAGAUUUAUCGCCAUUGGAGCGGCCCGCGUCUGAUUAGCUAGUUGGUGAGGUAAAGGCUCACCAAGGCGACGAUCAGUAGCUGGUCUGAGAGGAUGAUCAGCCACAUUGGGACUGAGACACGGCCCAAACUCCUACGGGAGGCAGCAGUGGGGAAUCUUGCGCAAUGGGCGAAAGCCUGACGCAGCCAUGCCGCGUGAAUGAUGAAGGUCUUAGGAUUGUAAAAUUCUUUCACCGGGGACGAUAAUGACGGUACCCGGAGAAGAAGCCCCGGCUAACUUCGUGCCAGCCGCCGCCGUAAUAC